CGCGGGCAAUCAGCGGCGCUCAGCGAUCUCCUUACCAUUCCCUCUCCUCCGCUUAAACAAAGUCCGCAAUCAGCGGCACGGAAAGCAGGAAUAAAAAGACUUCACCUCCAGUGGUGUCAUCAUGCUACCGACUGGCACAGCCUUUGUCCUUCUGAGGGGUUGCUCCAAAGACACAGCUGGAUUGGCAACAUGAGGAUAUGACAGUUCAUGGUUCCCCCAUCACAGAGCAAUAACAGGACACCACAGGUCGCUACCUGUGAGAGGGCCACCAAUGUGCAAGCAUAUGACAGGAGAAGUGGUGUGGAGCCUACAGCCAUGGCUUGGUGUAGAACCAAGGAACUAGAUCAGCACUGGUUCCUUGGGCAUACUGCAAAAGCAAAGCUGCCUCCACAGAAAUCUGCCAGGUCUCCUAGAUUUUUGACAUCUGAUACACAAUUUUUGUUG